UUAAAAUGAGAGUUUGAUCCUGGCUCAGGACGAACGCUGGCGGCGUGCCUAAUACAUGCAAGUCGAACGAAACUUUCUUACACCGAAUGCUUGCAUUCACCGUAAGAAGUUGAGUGGCGGACGGGUGAGUAACACGUGGGUAACCUGCCUAAAAGAAGGGGAUAACACUUGGAAACAGGUGCUAAUACCGUAUAUCUCUAAGGAUCGCAUGAUCCUUAGAUGAAAGAUGGUUCUGCUAUCGCUUUUAGAUGGACCCGCGGCGUAUUAACUAGUUGGUGGGGUAACGGCCUACCAAGGUGAUGAUACGUAGCCGAACUGAGAGGUUGAUCGGCCACAUUGGGACUGAGACACGGCCCAAACUCCUACGGGAGGCAGCAGUAGGGAAUCUUCCACAAUGGACGCAAGUCUGAUGGAGCAACGCCGCGUGAGUGAAGAAGGUCUUCGGAUCGUAAAACUCUGUUGUUAGAGAAGAACACGAGUGAGAGUAACUGUUCAUUCGAUGACGGUAUCUAACCAGCAAGUCACGGCUAACUACGUGCCAGCAGCCGCGGUAAUACGUAGGUGGCAAGCGUUGUCCGGAUUUAUUGGGCGUAAAGGGAACGCAGGCGGUCUUUUAAGUCUGAUGUGAAAGCCUUCGGCUUAACCGGAGUAGUGCAUUGGAAACUGGAAGACUUGAGUGCAGAAGAGGAGAGUGGAACUCCAUGUGUAGCGGUGAAAUGCGUAGAUAUAUGGAAGAACACCAGUGGCGAAAGCGGCUCUCUGGUCUGUAACUGACGCUGAGGUUCGAAAGCGUGGGUAGCAAACAGGAUUAGAUACCCUGGUAGUCCACGCCGUAAACGAUGAAUGCUAGGUGUUGGAGGGUUUCCGCCCUUCAGUGCCGCAGCUAACGCAAUAAGCAUUCCGCCUGGGGAGUACGACCGCAAGGUUGAAACUCAAAGGAAUUGACGGGGGCCCGCACAAGCGGAGGAGCAUGUGGUUUAAUUCGAAGCAACGCGAAGAACCUUACCAGGUCUUGACAUCCUUUGACCACCUAAGAGAUUAGGCUUUCCCUUCGGGGACAAAGUGACAGGUGGUGCAUGGCUGUCGUCAGCUCGUGUCGUGAGAUGUUGGGUUAAGUCCCGCAACGAGCGCAACCCUUGUUGUCAGUUGCCAGCAUUAAGUU
rnacentral:rRNA from 2 species